rnacentral:rRNA from 1 species
CUGGAGGUAUCAGAAGUGCGAAUGCUGACAUAAGUAACGAUAAAGCGGGUGAAAAGCCCGCUCGCCGGAAGACCAAGGGUUCCUGUCCAACGUUAAUCGGGGCAGGGUGAGUCGACCCCUAAGGCGAGGCCGAAAGGCGUAGUCGAUGGGAAACGGGUUAAUAUUCCCGUACUUGGUGUUACUGCGAAGGGGGGACGGAGAAGGCUAUGUUGGCCGGGCGACGGUUGUCCCGGUUUAAGCGUGUAGGUGUGUGUUCCAGGUAAAUCCGGUUCACUUUAACACUGAGGCGUGACGACGAGGCACUACGGUGCUGAAGCAACAAAUGCCCUGCUUCCAGGAAAAGCCUCUAAGCAUCAGGUAACAUCAAAUCGUACCCCAAACCGACACAGGUGGUCAGGUAGAGAAUACCAAGGCGCUUGAGAGAACUCGGGUGAAGGAACUAGGCAAAAUGGUGCCGUAACUUCGGGAGAAGGCACGCUGACAUGUAGGUGAAGUGAUUUACUCAUGGAGCUGAAGUCAGUCGAAGAUACCAGCUGGCUGCAACUGUUUAUUAAAAACACAGCACUGUGCAAACACGAAAGUGGACGUAUACGGUGUGACGCCUGCCCGGUGCCGGAAGGUUAAUUGAUGGGGUCAGCGCAAGCGAAGCUCCUGAUCGAAGCCCCGGUAAACGGCGGCCGUAACUAUAACGGUCCUAAGGUAGCGAAAUUCCUUGUCGGGUAAGUUCCGACCUGCACGAAUGGCGUAAUGAUGGCCAGGCUGUCUCCACCCGAGACUCAGUGAAAUUGAACUCGCUGUGAAGAUGCAGUGUACCCGCGGCAAGACGGAAAGACCCCGUGAACCUUUACUAUAGCUUGACACUGAACAUUGAGCCUUGAUGUGUAGGAUAGGUGGGAGGCUUUGAAGUGUGGACGCCAGUCUGCAUGGAGCCGACCUUGAAAUACCACCCUUUAAUGUUUGAUGUUCUAACGUGGACCCGUAAUCCGGGUUGCGGACAGUGUCUGGUGGGUAGUUUGACUGGGGCGGUCUCCUCCUAAAGAGUAACGGAGGAGCACGAAGGUUGGCUAAUCCUGGUCGGACAUCAGGAGGUUAGUGCAAUGGCAUAAGCCAGCUUGACUGCGAGCGUGACGGCGCGAGCAGGUGCGAAAGCAGGUCAUAGUGAUCCGGUGGUUCUGAAUGGAAGGGCCAUCGCUCAACGGAUAAAAGGUACUCCGGGGAUAACAGGCUGAUACCGCCCAAGAGUUCAUAUCGACGGCGGUGUUUGGCACCUCGAUGUCGGCUCAUCACAUCCUGGGGCUGAAGUAGGUCCCAAGGGUAUGGCUGUUCGCCAUUUAAAGUGGUACGCGAGCUGGGUUUAGAACGUCGUGAGACAGUUCGGUCCCUAUCUGCCGUGGGCGCUGGAGAACUGAGGGGGGCUGCUCCUAGUACGAGAGGACCGGAGUGGACGCAUCACUGGUGUUCGGGUUGUCAUGCCAAUGGCACUGCCCGGUAGCUAAAUGCGGAAGAGAUAAGUGCUGAAAGCAUCUAAGCACGAAACUUGCCCCGAGA